AGGACGAACGCUGGCGGCGUGCUUAACACAUGCAAGUCGAGCGGAAAGGCCCUUCGGGGUACUCGAGCGGCGAACGGGUGAGUAACACGUGAGCAACCUGCCCUUAGCUCUAGGAUAGCUCCGAGAAACCGGAAUUAAUACCGGAUAUGACCUAGGCCGACAUCGGCCGUGGUGGAAAGUUUUUCGGCUAGGGAUGGACUCGCGGCCUAUCAGCUAGUUGGUGGGGUAAUGGCCUACCAAGGCGACGACGGGUAGCCGGCCUGAGAGGGCGACCGGCCACACUGGGACUGAGACACGGCCCAGACUCCUACGGGAGGCAGCAGUGGGGAAUCUUGCGCAAUGGGCGAAAGCCUGACGCAGCGACGCCGCGUGGGGGAUGAAGGCCUUCGGGUUGUAAACCCUUUCAGCAGGGACGAAGCGAAAGUGACGGUACCUGCAGAAGAAGCGCCGGCUAACUACGCGCCAGCAGCCGC
rnacentral:rRNA from 1 species